CGACGUGAGCAAUCUGCCUUUGAGGGGGGAGUAACAGUCGGAAACGGCUGCUAAUACCGCAUAAAGCAUCAAAUUCGCAUGUUUUUGAUGCCAAAGGAGCAAUCCGCUUUUAGAUGAGCUCGCGUCUGAUUAGCUGGUUGGCGGGGUAACGGCCCACCAAGGCGACGAUCAGUAGCCGGACUGAGAGGUUGAACGGCCACAUUGGGACUGAGACACGGCCCAG
rnacentral:rRNA from 1 species